rnacentral:rRNA from 1 species
AAUCAACGCUGGCGGCGUGCCUAACACAUGCAAGUCGAGCGCGAAAGGGGGGUAACUCCCGAGUAGAGCGGCGAACGGGUGAGUAACGCGUGGGUGAUCUGCCUCCGAGUGGGGAAUAACACUGGGAAACUGGUGCUAAUACCGCAUCACAUCCUCGGAUCGUGCCGAGGAUCAAAGCCGGGGACCGCAAGGCCUGGCGCUUGGAGAGGAGCCCGCGUCCGAUUAGCAGUUGGCGGGGUAAUGGCCCACCAAGGCGACGAUCGGUAGCCGGCCUGAGAGGGCGGACGGCCACACUGGGAUUGAGACACGGCCCAGACUCCUACGGGAGGCAGCAGUGGGGAAUUUUUCGCAAUGGGGGAAACCCUGACGAAGCAACGCCGCGUGGAGGAUGAAGGCCU